AAGUCAGCCUGCCCCAAGAGAAAGUAGACAGAAUUCUUUCAUACAUCAACAUCUUCACAUCAUACAUCUUUCACCAGGAAACAGCUACAGUCACUACGCGGGUCACUUAAUUUUGCGAUGAGGAUAAUUCCACAGGGGAGGUAAUUCAUUUCCAGAAUUCUCUUUCUUACACGGUCUCCCUGACGACGACUCCACAGCUCUCCUAGACGCACCAGCUAGAGCAGAUCUUAAAAUGUGGCAUCCAUUUCUGUCCUCUUGGAAUGGCAGGUCGCUAUUCGCUACCCCCAUUUCUGACGAUUCCCCGGACGCAUCAGGUGUCAUAGGUUACGCAGCAAUUUUUGGUAAUGACUGGGUGUACAACUCUUGGCCAGUAGAGACUACCUCGCUAGAGAAUUUCAAAACCACCUCCGCAUUAUUCGAAAUCUUUCCAAUCGUAGCUGCUGCACACAUUUGAGGUGAAGAAUGGAAAGGGCAAUCGGUC